rnacentral:misc_RNA from 1 species
AAGUCGUAACAAGGUUUCCGUAGGUGAACCUGCGGAAGGAUCAUUAUCGUGGGGCUUCGGCCCUCUCGAGAUAGAAACCCUUGCCUUUUCGAGUACCCUUCGUUUCCUCGGCAGGCUCGCCUGCCAAUGGGGACCCAAUCAAACCCUUUGUAUAAGCAGUAUACGUCUGAAAAUAAUACAAAAUAUUAAAACUUUCAACAACGGAUCUCUUGGUUCUG